UACGAAGGGGGCUAGCGUUGCUCGGAAUCACUGGGCGUAAAGGGUGCGUAGGCGGGGCUUUAAGUCAGGGGGGAAAUCCUGGAGCUCAACUCCAGAACUGCCUUUGAUACUGAGGAUCUUGAGUUCGGGAGAGGUGAGUGGAACUGCGAGUGUAGAGGUGAAAUUCGUAGAUAUUCGCAAGAACACCAGUGGCGAAGGCGGCCUACUGGGCCAGUACUGACGCUGAGCCGCGAAAGCCAGGGGAGCGAACGGG
rnacentral:rRNA from 1 species